rnacentral:rRNA from 1 species
CGACCUCGCGAGAGCAAGCGGACCUCAUAAAGUAUGUCGUAGUCCGGAUUGGAGUCUGCAACUCGACUCCAUGAAGUCGGAAUCGCUAGUAAUCGUAGAUCAGAAUGCUACGGUGAAUACGUUCCCGGGCCUUGUACACACCGCCCGUCACACCAUGGGAGUGGGUUGCAAAAGAAGUAGGUAGCUUAACCUUCGGGAGGGCGCUUACCACUUUGUGAUUCAUGACUGGGGUGAAGUCGUAACAAGGUAACCGUAGGGGAACCUGCGGUUGGAUCACCUCCUUACCUUAAAGAA